UGCCAGCCGCCGCGGUAACACGGGGGGCGCAAGCGUUAUUCGGAAUUAUUGGGCGUAAAGGGCGCGUAGGUGGCAUGCCAAGUUAGAGGUGAAAUCCCGGAGCUUAACUCCGGAACUGCCUUUAAAACUGGUAAGCUAGAGGAUGUGAGAGGUGAGUGGAAUUCCGAGUGUAGAGGUGAAAUUCGUAGAUAUUCGGAAGAACACCAGCGGCGAAGGCGGCUAACUGGCUCGGUACUGACGCUGAGAUGCGAAAGCGUGGGGAGCAAACAGGAUUAGAUA
rnacentral:rRNA from 1 species